AGCGAACGCUGGCGGCAGGCCUAACACAUGCAAGUCGAGCGGAUGAGUGGAGCUUGCUCCAUGAUUCAGCGGCGGACGGGUGAGUAAUGCCUAGGAAUCUGCCUGGUAGUGGGGGACAACGUUUCGAAAGGAACGCUAAUACCGCAUACGUCCUACGGGAGAAAGCAGGGGACCUUCGGGCCUUGCGCUAUCAGAUGAGCCUAGGUCGGAUUAGCUAGUUGGUGAGGUAAAGGCUCACCAAGGCGACGAUCCGUAACUGGUCUGAGAGGAUGAUCAGUCACACUGGAACUGAGACACGGUCCAGACUCCUACGGGAGGCAGCAGUGGGGAAUAUUGGACAAUGGGCGAAAGCCUGAUCCAGCCAUGCCGCGUGUGUGAAGAAGGUCUUCGGAUUGUAAAGCACUUUAAGUUGGGAGGAAGGGCAGUAAGUUAAUACCUUGCUGUUUUGACGUUACCGACAGAAUAAGCACCGGCUAACUUCGUGCCAGCCGCCGCUGUAAAAC
rnacentral:rRNA from 1 species